rnacentral:rRNA from 1 species
UAGGGAAUCUUCCACAAUGGACGCAAGUCUGAUGGAGCAACGCCGCGUGAGUGAAGAAGGUUUUCGGAUCGUAAAGCUCUGUUGUUGGUGAAGAAGGAUAGAGGUAGUAACUGGCCUUUAUUUGACGGUAAUCAACCAGAAAGUCACGGCUAACUACGUGCCAGCAGCCGCGGUAAUACGUAGGUGGCAAGCGUUGUCCGGAUUUAUUGGGCGUAAAGCGAGCGCAGGCGGAAGAAUAAGUCUGAUGUGAAAGACCUCGGCUUAACCGAGGAACUGCAUCGGAAACUGUUUUUCUUGAGUGCAGAAGAGGAGAGUGGAACUCCAUGUGUAGCGGUGGAAUGCGUAGAUAUAUGGAAGAACACCAGUGGCGAAGGCGACUCUCUGGUCUGCAACUGACGCUGAGGCUCGAAAGCAUGGGUAGCGAACAGG